AUAAGUGACCAUAGGAG
rnacentral:misc_RNA from 1 species